GUCCACGCCCUAAACGAUGCAUAUUUGGUGUGGGCCAUUCAUUUGGUCUGUGCCGGAGCUAACGCGUUAAAUAUGCCGCCUGGGGAGUACAGUCGCAAGGCUUAAACUCAAAGGAAUUGACGGGGGCCCGCACAAGCGGUGGAGCAUGUGGUUUAAUUCGACGCAACGCGAAGAACCUUACCUGGGCUCGAAAUGCUAUGGACAGUCUGUGAAAGCGGAUCUUCCCGCAAGGGACCGUAGUAUAGGUGCUGCAUGGCUGUCGU
rnacentral:rRNA from 1 species